AUUGAACGCUGGCGGCAUGCUUUACACAUGCAAGUCGAACGGUAACAGGCCGCAAGGUGCUGACGAGUGGCGAACGGGUGAGUAAUGCAUCGGAACGUGCCCAGUCGUGGGGGAUAACGCAGCGAAAGCUGUGCUAAUACCGCAUACGAUCUAUGGAUGAAAGCGGGGGACCGUAAGGCCUCGCGCGAUUGGAGCGGCCGAUGUCAGAUUAGGUAGUUGGUGGGGUAAAGGCCUACCAAGCCGACGAUCUGUAGCUGGUCUGAGAGGACGACCAGCCUCACUGGGACUGAGACACGGCCCAGACUCCUACGGGAGGCAGCAGUGGGGAAUUUUGGACAAUGGGCGCAAGCCUGAUCCAGCAAUGCCGCGUGCAGGAAGAAGGCCUUCGGGUUGUAAACUGCUUUUGUACGGAACGAAACGGUCCUGGUUAAUACCUGGGGCUAAUGACGGUACCGUAAGAAUAAGCACCGGCUAACUACGUGCCAGCCGCCGCAGUAACAC
rnacentral:rRNA from 1 species